CAGAUGGUUCCUGAAAUGACUGGGAAGACAGACGCUUUGGUGCCCAUCGAAGAGCUGUUUUUGGUGAUUUGGACAGACUUCAAAACUCUGGACUGAGAAGUAACUCUGGCUGUGUAUGACUUCAGGAAAGCAAGGUCAGGAGAAUAUUUUAAAGUAGCAAUUGAAACCAGUAUUUACAAAAUAAGUAUCAAGGAACAUCCAAGCAAAGCUUCCUUUCCUUGGACUGUACAUGUGGCAUUUGGAAGCAUCUCUGAAUGUGAGCAGGAGAGCGCCCAGCAGCACAGCACGCUGACUCUCUAGGGAAACAGUGCGGAAGAACCCGACUCUUGUCUGUUUUCAUGUUAAGGGCUUCUCUUCCCUGUUGAGUCCAAGAAGACUUGCAUAUAGGAGGAAGAGUACGUGAUGGACUUAAUUCUGAGAAUAGUCUUUUCCUUCAAGAUGGAAGAAUAGGUAUCUUUAGGAACAGAAAGGGGAGAAGCCAGUAGGGGAGGGAAGAAGGAGACUGGGCAAAAGAGAUAGAAUCCUGUAGUGAGGCUCUGUUUUGUCAACGAGAGGAUUUAGGAUUCACCCAAGGCAAACACUUGUGCCACUUAAAGAGCUUUAGAACCUUCUGGCUCUGUGAGCAAAGGGGUUUUCUCUCUCCGCCUCUAUGGCACUGAAGAGUGCACCG
rnacentral:lncRNA from 1 species